UACGUAGGCAGCAAGCGUUGUUCGGAGUUACUGGGCGUAAAGCGUGCGCAGGCGGUUCGUUGUGUCGGCGGUGAAAUCCCCGGGCUCAACCUGGGAAUGGCCGUUGAAACUGGCGAACUGGAGUGUGGCAGAGGGGGGUGGAAUUCCGCGUGUAGCAGUGAAAUGCGUAGAGAUGCGGAGGAACACCGAUGGCGAAGGCAGCCCCCUGGGCUGACACUGACGCUCAGGCACGAAAGCGUGGGGAGCAAACAGG
rnacentral:rRNA from 1 species